rnacentral:lncRNA from 1 species
AGUUGGUACAUUUUAGUAAUGUGUAUCGGAUUUUAGUAAACAAAAAUAACCUAAUAUAUCAUGGAUUCUAAGUUUUAAGGUUAAGGGUAUUUUAAAAAAAAAAAGUAAACACUUACUCACCUCCCUCAUUCCUCUCAACCCUUUCUCUUCCAUCUCUCUCACUCUAACAUUUUCUUUGUCAUCCCUAUGCUAGUCUUAGUUGAAAAAAUCAAAAACACUUGUCUAACCUUAAUCUACCUUCCUCAC